UGCCCAAAGAGCAAAUAAGUAUCAGAGGUAGAAUUAGAACCCAGUGUUUUCUGCUCAAAGUUCAGCAAAGUAUCCACUUUUUUCCAGGCUGCCUCUUCACUAAAAAUAGGAGGCAACAAAUACUCAUUAAUGAUAAAUGAGUAUUUCAUACAAUAAAUGUUAAAGAAGAUAUAAUAUUGGAGGGAAAGCUCAAUCUUCAGGCUGCCAGCAAGCAUAUUAAUGAUGGAACUUACCUUCUGGCUUUCUGACUCAGUUACAUAUUGAAGACCUUGGAAUUACUGUCAUGGUGGAUAUAUUAAAAAAAAAAAUUCCCACCCACCUUCUAUUCUCUGGGUGUUGUGAAAACUUCCUAAUAACAUCAUGUGAAUUAUGCACAAUAAAUUGUUGUCUUCUUUAAUGAUAUACCUGAACUAGAAAAAUAAUGCCUCAUUGUCCCUGUAUGGAUUUCCUGGAAUGCCUGCUACCCAGGGGCAUUUUGGACAGAAAGCUGGCUUGAUGCAGAAACCUUGGAGCCAGUGAAACUAACAUCUCCACCUGUGAAGAUUACAACUUAAGGAAAAGGGGAAAAUACCAUCUUUACAAGAAGUGCUUGUGAACAGGCUAAAUCCAAACAAAUGA
rnacentral:lncRNA from 1 species